GGGGGGCAACUCCCUGAGUAAAGCGGCGCACGGGUGAGUAACACGUAGGUAGUCUACCCUCGAGUCCAGGAUAACCUACCGAAAGGUGGGCUAAUACCGGAUAUGACCACGGGAGUUUCGGCUCCUGCGGUGAAAGGUGGCCUCUGCUUGCAAGCUACUGCUCGGAGAUGAGCCUGCGGGCCAUUAGCUAGUUGGUGAGGUAACGGCUCACCAAGGCGAUGAUGGCUAGCUGGUCUGAGAGGAUGGCCAGCCACACUGGGACUGAAACACGGCCCAGACUCCUACGGGAGGCAGCAGUGGGGGAUAUUGCGCAAUGGGCGAAAGCCUGACGCAGCGACGCCGCGUGGGUGAUGAAGGCCUUCGGGUCGUAAAGCCCUGUCGAGGGGAACGAAACGGUCUCGACUUAACACGUCGAGUCCCUGACGGUACCCCUAAAGGAAGCACCGGCUAACUCCGUGCCAGCAGCCGCGGUAAUACGGAGGGUGCAAGCGUUGUUCGGAAUCACUGGGCGUAAAGGGCGUGUAGGCGGUCCGCUAAGUCUGAUGUGAAAGCCCGGGGCUCACCCCCGGAAGGGCAUUGGAAACUGGCGGACUCGAGUCUCGGAGAGGAAGGUGGAAUUCCUGGUGUAGCGGUGAAAUGCGUAGAUAUCAGGAGGAAUACCGGUGGCGAAGGCGGCCUUCUGGACGAUGACUGACGCUGAGACGCGAAAGCGUGGGGAGCAAACAGGAUUAGAUACCCUGGUAGUCCACGCUGUAAACGAUGAGCACUAGGUGUCGUGGGUAUUGACCCCCGCGGUGCCGACGCUAACGCAUUAAGUGCUCCGCCUGGGGACUACGG
rnacentral:rRNA from 1 species